rnacentral:rRNA from 1 species
UACGUAGGGUGCAAGCGUUGUCCGGAAUUAUUGGGCGUAAAGAGCUCGUAGGCGGUCCGUCACGUCGGCUGUGAAAACCUGGGGCUCAACCCCGGGCCUGCAGCCGAUACGGGCGGACUAGAAUUCGGUAGGGGAGACUGGAAUUCCUGGUGUAGCGGUGAAAUGCGCAGAUAUCAGGAGGAACACCGGUGGCGAGGGCGGGUCUCUGGGCCGAUAUUGACGCUGAGGAGCGAAAGCGUGGGGGAGCGAACAGG